AUGGGAAUGUGGGAGGAAGCGAGUGACCCAGUGAUGGGGAAGAAGGAAGAAAAUGAGGAGCGGAAGGAGAAAAUUAUGAAAAUCACAAUGGAGAUUAUCUAUCUGCUGACUGGAGAGCGAUACGUCAUCCCUAAGAAGAAGAGCCCAACUGUGGGUUUGGGGGCCCUGCAUGCCCCUGGCUCCGUCAUACAGAAGGAAAAUGACAAGAAGAUCCUGGAACUCAUCUCCAACAUCAUCCAGCUGCUGACUGGAGAGGUUGCCAUAAGGUGUGAGGAUGUUUCCAUCUAUUUUUCCUUGGAGGAGUGGGAGUAUAUAAAAGGAAACAAGGCCCUUUACAGGGAAGGGAUAAAGGAGGAGGAGGAGGAGCCCCAGCAGCUCCGCCCACUGGCCUGUGAGUAUAAAGAUGGGAGCGAUGUUACAGCACAUACGGAAGCAACUUUAUGUUGUAAUAAUGAUGGGAAUCUCACAAACCCUGAUGUUUCUCCAGUGGAACAGCCCCCACCGGCCAAUGGGAUUAAAGAGGAAGAAGCUUCAUGUGGAAGGGAAAACCAAUCAAAUUGCAGCAUUAAUCCCCUUACAGAACAGAUACAGGGAACAGACACACUUACUCCUAUCAUGGGGUGCAGCCUGAAUAACAGCUCGGCAGAGGAUUAUAUAUCCGUUGUUAUUAUAGAGGAAGAAACUUCAUGGGAAGGGGGAAACCAAUCAGAUUGCAGCAUUAAUUCCCUUACAGAACAGAUACAGGAAACAAAUACUCCUAUCAUGGGGUGCAGCCUGAAUAUCUUAGAAAUGAAGGAUAAUAAUUAUGAUAAAAAUUCCCACCAAUCUCCACAUAAAUCUGAAAUAACAAAAAAUACAUUAUGUGGGGAAUACAGCUGCAAUGAGAGUCAUGAACAUUUUAAUUCUAAUGGAGACUUUGAUAAACAUCUGAGAACCCACACAGGGGAGAAACCUUUUUCUUGUUCAGAAUGUUGGAAAUGUUUUUCAAGCAAAUUUCAUCUUGAUCGGCAUCACAGGACUCACACGGGGGAGAAACCAUUUUCUUGUUCUGAAUGUGGGAAAUGUUUUUCAAGCAAAUUUCAUCUUGAUCGGCAUCACAGGACUCACACGGGGGAGAAACCAUUUUCUUGUUCUGAAUGUGGGAAAUGUUUUUCAGACCAUUCCCACCUUAAAAGUCAUCAGAGAACCCACACAGGGGAGAAACUAUUUUCAUGUUCUGAGUGUGAGAAAUGUUUCUCGGACCAAUCCAACCUUAAAACUCAUAAGAGAAUCCACACAGGGGAGAAACCAUUUUCAUGUUCUGCAUGUGGGAAAUGUUUUUCAGACCAAUCCCACUUUAGAACUCAUCAGAGAACCCACACAGGGGAGAAACUAUUUUCAUGUUCUGAGUGUGGGAAAUGUUUCUCGGACCAAUCCGACCUGAAAAUUCAUUAUAGAACCCACACAAGGGUGAAACCAUUUUCUUGUUCUGAAUGUGGGAAAUGUUUUUCAGACCAAUCCCACCUUAAAACUCAUCAGAGAACCCACACAGGGGAAAAACCAUUUUCAUGUUCUGUAUGUGGGAAAUGUUUUUACUGUCAAUCUAACCUUAAUCGGCAUCAAAGGACUCACACAGGAGAGAAGCCAUUUUCAUGUUCUGAAUGUUGGAAAUCUUUUUCAGACCAAUCACUCCUUAAAAUUCAUUAUAGAACCCACACAAGGGUUAAACCAUUUUCUUGUUCUGAAUGUGGGAAAUGUUUUUCAGACCAAUCCCACCUUAAAACUCAUCAGAGAAUCCACACAGGGGAGAAACCAUUUUCAUGUUCUAAAUGUGGGAAAUCUUUUUCCUGUCGAUCUAGCCUUAAUCGGCAUCAAAGGACCCACACAGAGGAGAAACCAUUUUCAUGUUCUGAAUCUGAGAAAUCUUUUUCAGACCAAUCACUCCUUAAAAUUCUUCAUACAACCCACACAGGGGAGAAACCAUUUUCAUGUUCUGAGUGUGGGAAAUGUUUCUCAGACCAAUCCCACCUUAAAACUCAUCAGAGAAUCCACACAGGGGAGAAACCAUUUUCAUGUUCUGAAUGUGGGAAAUCUUUUUCCUGUCGAUCUAGCCUUAAUCGGCAUCAAAGGACUCACACAGAGGAGAAACCAUUUUCAUGUUCUGAAUGUGAGAAAUCUUUUUCAGACCAAUCACUCCUUAAAAUUCAUCAUACAACCCACACAGGGGAGAAACCAUUUUCAUGUUCUGAGUGUGGGAAAUAUUUCUCAGACCAAUCCCACCUUAAAACUCAUCAGAGAAUCCACACAGGGGAGAAACCAUUUUCAUGUUCUGAAUGUGGGAAAUCUUUUUCCUGUCGAUCUAGCCUUAAUCGGCAUCAAAGGACUCAUACAGAGGAGAAAUCAUUUUCAUGUUCUGAAUGUGAGAAAUCUUUUUCAGACCAAUCACUCCUUAAAAUUCAUCAUACAACCCACACAGGGGGAGAAACCAUUUUCUUGUGUUGAAUGUGGAAAAUGAUUUGUAAAGCAAUCUGACCUUGAUUAUCAUAAAAGGACCCACACAAGGGAGAAACCAUUCUCAUAUUCUGAAUGUGGGAAAUCUUUUUCCUGUCGAUCUAGCCUUAAUCGGCAUCAAAGGACUCACACAGAGGAGAAACCAUUCUCAUGUUCUGAAUGUGGGAAAUGUUUUUCAAAGCGAUCUGAGCUUGAUCGUCAUAAAUAUACUCACACAGAAGAGAAACCAUUUUCUUGUUUUAAACUUGAUAAUAACAUGAAUCCAUCCCAUAAGGGGCCGAGUUCCCUAGAGAGAAUCCUGAAUCUCACACUGGAGAUUAUCUAUCUGCUGACUGGAGAGGGCUACGUCAUCCCUAAGAAGAAGAGCCCAACUGUGGGUUUGGGGGCCCUGCAUGCCCCUGGCUCCGUCAUACAGAAGGAAAAUGACAAGAAGAUCCUGGAACUCAUCUCCAACAUCAUCCAGCUGCUGACUGGAGAGGUUGCCAUAAGGUGUGAGGAUGUUUCCAUCUAUUUUUCCUUGGAGGAGUGGGAGUAUAUAAAAGGAAACAAGGCCCUUUACAGGGAAGAGAUAAAGGAGGAGGAGGAGCCCCAGCAGCUCCGCCCACUGGCCUGUGAGUAUAAAGAUGGGAGCGAUGUUACAGCACAUACGGAAGCAACUUUAUGUUGUAAUAAUGAUGGGAAUCUCACAAACCCUGAUGUUUCUCCAGCGGAACAGCCCCCACCGGCCAAUGGGAUUAAAGAGGAGGCGGCUUCAUGGGAAGGGAGAAACCAAUCAGAUUGCAGCAUUAAUCCCCUUACAGAACAGAUACAAGGAACAGACACACCUACUCCUAUCAUGGGGUGCAGCCUGAAUAACAGCUCGGCAGAGGAUUAUAUAUCCGUUGUUAUUAAAGAGGAGGAACCUUCAUGGGAAGGGGGAAACCAAUCAGAUUGCAGCAUUAAUCUCCUUACAGAACAGAUACAGGGAACAGACACACCUACUCCUAUCAUUCAGGCUCCACCCCAUAACAGCUCGGCAGAGGAUUAUAUAUCCGUUGUUAUUAAAGAGGAAGAACCUUCAUGGGAAGGGGGAAACCAAUCAGAUUGCAGCAUUAAUCCCCUUACAGAACAGAUACAGGGAACAAAUACUCCUAUCAUGGGGUGCAGCCUGAAUACCUUACAAUUGAAGGAUAAUAAUUAUAAUGAAAAUUCCCACCAAUCUCCACAUAAAUCUGAAAUAACAAAAUUUAUAUCAUGUGGGAAAUACAGCUGCAAUGAGAGUCAUAAACCUAUUAGUUAUAAUGGAGACUUUAAUAAACAUUGGAGAACCCACACAGGGGAGAAACCUUUUUCUUGUUCAGAAUGUGGGAAAUGUUUUUCAAGCAAAUCUAAACUUGAUAGUCAUCUAAGGACUCACACAGGGGAGAAACCAUUUUCUUGUUCUGAAUGUCGGAAAUGUUUUUCAAACAAAUCUCAACUUGAUCGGCAUCAAAGGACUCACACAGGGGAGAAACCAUAUUCUUGUUCUGAAUGUGGAAAAUGUUUUUCAGGCCAAUCACUCCUUAAAAUUCAUUAUAGAAUCCAUACAGGGGAGAAACCAUUUUCUUGUUCAGAAUGUGGGAAAUAUUUUUCAAACAAAUCUAAACUUGAUUGUCAUCUAAGGACUCACACAGGGGAGAAACCAUUUCCUUGUUCUGUAUGUGGGAAAUGUUUUAAUUGUCAAUCUAACCUUAAUCGGCAUCAAAGGACUCACACAGGGGAGAAAUCAUUUUCAUGUUCUGAGUGUGGGAAAUGUUUUUCAGACCAAUCCGACCUGAAAAUUCAUUAUAGAACCCACACAGGGGUGAAACCAUUUUCUUGUUCUGAAUGUGAGAAAUGUUUUUCAGACCAAUCCCACCUUAAAACUCAUCAGAGAACCCAUACAGGGAAGAAACAAUUUUCAUGUUCUGAGUGUGGGAAAUGUUUCUCAGACCAAUCCCAACUUAAAACUCAUCAGAGAACCCACACAGGGGAGAAACCAUUUUCAUGUUCUGUGUGUGGGAAAUGUUUUUACUGUCAAUCUAACUUUAUUCGGCAUCAAAGGACUCACACAGGGGAGAAACCAUUUUCUUGUUCUGAAUGUGGGAAAUGUUUUUCAGAGCAAUCACUCCUUAAAAUUCAUCAUACAACCCACACAGGGGAGAAACCAUUUUCUUGUGUUGAAUGUGGGAAAUCUUUUUCCUGUCGAUCUAGCCUUAAUCGGCAUCAUAGAACUCACACAGGGGAGAAACCAUUUUCAUGUUCUGAGUGUGGGAAAUGUUUUUCACAGCAAUAUGACCUGAAAAUUCAUUCUAGAACCCACGCAUUGGCGAAAAUUUUUUCUUGUUCUGAAUGUGGGAAAUGUUUUUCAAAGCGAUCUGAGUUUGAUUGUCAUAAAUAUAUUCACACAGUGGAGAAACCAUUAAACAUACUUUCACAAUGACGUAAAACGUAAACUUGGAUCAUUGAACUCUUUCCCGUUUCUCUCUCUCUGACACCAUCCAGCCCAGCUACAGACUGGGGAGGAACCCGAUUGGCUGGAUGCCCCAUUGCACUGUUGGGAGAGAGGAGGUGCCUAGGUUUGGAGUAAAAAAUCCGGGUCCGACCCAGCAGCUUAUAAAGGGGCCGGAGUUGAGACAGAGAGACCAACCAGUAAGCAGUGAGUGUGUAAAGGCUGAAGGGAACUCUGCUGAGUGCCAGCCUGUAAAGAGAGAUCCGCUACACUGCUGUUAGAUGCCUUUACUCCCUGCGGAUCCCCCGUGAGUGACCCAUAUGAGGAUAAAGGUAUAGAGUCUCCGUGUGUGGCCCCUGGGGGAGGGCAGGUGUUUCUCGGGGCUACAUGGGAGCAACUGCCUAUUCCAAAGGGAGAGGUACUUUGGGGCAGGUAGCGCUACCUGGGGGAACUCUGGGGAAGGGACUGAACUGGGAAAGGGUAUUUCCUCCAGGAGGGGAGUGUGGGACUGAGCCCCCAGAGAGACUGAGCCAGUAGUGGCUAAACCCAUCCCGGUUUCCCAAAGCAGGGUUAUUACUGUUUGCCUGUUAUAAUUAUUUUACCUUUACACCCAGUUAUAUAAAGUUGAUAUUUGCUACAAA